rnacentral:rRNA from 1 species
AUUGAACGCUGGCGGCACGCCUUACACAUGCAAGUCGAACGGCAGCACGGGAGCAAUCCUGGUGGCGAGUGGCGAACGGGUGAGUAAUAUAUCGGAACGUGCCCAGUCGUGGGGGAUAACGUAGCGAAAGCUACGCUAAUACCGCAUACGAUCUAUGGAUGAAAGCGGGGGAUCGCAAGACCUCGCGCGAUUGGAGCGGCCGAUAUCAGAUUAGGUAGUUGGUGAGGUAAAGGCUCACCAAGCCGACGAGCUGUAGCUGGUCUGAGAGGACGACCGGCCACACUGGGACUGAGACACGGCCCAGACUCCUACGGGAGGCAGCAGUGGGGAAUUUUGGACAAUGGGCGCAAGCCUGAUCCAGCAAUGCCGCGUGCAGGAUGAAGGCCUUCGGGUUGUAAACUGCUUUUGUACGGAACGAAACGGCGAGCUCUAAUACAGUUUGCUAAUGACGGUACCGUAAGAAUAAGCACCGGCUAACUACGUGCCAGCCGCCGCCGUAA